GACGAACGCUGGCGGCGUGCUUAACACAUGCAAGUCGAACGGACAGGCGCUGCUUUUGUUGGGUGCUUGAUAGGCGAAGGGGUGAGUAAAACGUGAGUAACAUGUCCUUGACUUUGGGAUAACAUCAGGAGAAUCGGGCUAAUACAGGAUAGGAGCUCUUGCUGCACGGGGGGGGUUGGAAAGAUUCGGCGGUUGGGGAUGGACUAGCGGCUUAUCAGCUUGUUGGUGAGGUUGUGGCUUACCAAGGUUUUGAAGGGUAGCCGGCCUGAGAGGGUGACCGGCCACAAUGGUACUGCGGUACGGCCCAGACUCCUACGGGAGGCAGCGGUGGGGAAUAUUGCGCAAUGGGCGGAAGCCAGUUGCAGCAACGCCGCGUGCGGGAUGACGGCCUACUGGUUGUAAACCGCUUUCGCCGGUGACGAAGAGUGAGUGACGGUAAUGAGUAAAGAAGCACCGGCUAACUACGUG
rnacentral:rRNA from 1 species